ACAUGCAAGUCGAACGGCAGCACGGGUGCUUGCACCUGGUGGCGAGUGGCGAACGGGUGAGUAAUACAUCGGAACAUGUCCUGUAGUGGGGGAUAGCCCGGCGAAAGCCGGAUUAAUACCGCAUACGAUCUACGGGUGAAAGCGGGGGACCUUCGGGCCUCGCGCUAUAGGGUUGGCCGAUGGCUGAUUAGCUAGUUGGUGGGGUAAAGGCCUACCAAGGCGACGAUCAGUAGCUGGUCUGAGAGGACGACCAGCCACACUGGGACUGAGACACGGCCCAGACUCCUACGGGAGGCAGCAGUGGGGAAUUUUGGACAAUGGGCGAAAGCCUGAUCCAGCAAUGCCGCGUGUGUGAAGAAGGCCUUCGGGUUGUAAAGCACUUUUGUCCGGAAAGAAAUCCUUGGUUCUAAUAUAGCCGGGGGAUGACGGUACCGGAAGAAUAAGCACCGGCUAACUACGUGCCAGCAGCCGCGGUAAUACGUAGGGUGCGAGCGUUAAUCGGAAUUACUGGGCGUAAAGCGUGCGCAGGCGGUUUGCUAAGACCGAUGUGAAAUCCCCGGGCUCAACCUGGGAACUGCAUUGGUGACUGGCAGGCUAGAGUAUGGCAGAGGGGGGUAGAAUUCCACGUGUAGCAGUGAAAUGCGUAGAGAUGUGGAGGAAUACCGAUGGCGAAGGCAGCCCCCUGGGCCAAUACUGACGCUCAUGCA
rnacentral:rRNA from 1 species